AUUGAACGCUGGCGGCAGGCCUAACACAUGCAAGUCGAACGAGUGGCGGACGGGUGAGUAAUGUCUGGGAACCUGCCUGAUGGAGGGGGAUAACUACUGGAAACGGUAGCUAAUACCGCAUACCAUCGGAUGUGCCCAGAUGGGAUUAGAUAGUAGGUGGUGUACAGGCACACCUGGGCGAUGAUCGCUAGCUGGUCUGAGAGGAGGACCAGCCGCGCUGGAACGGAGACACUGUCCAGACUCCUACGGGAGGCAGCAGGGUGGAAUAUUGCACAAUGGGCGCAAGCCUGAUGCAGCCAUGCCGCGUGUAUGAAGAAGGCCUUCGGGUUGUAAAGUACUUUCAGCGGUGAGGCGGUACCCGCAGAAGAAGCACCGGCUAACUCCGUGCCAGCAGCCGCGGUAAUAC
rnacentral:rRNA from 1 species